rnacentral:lncRNA from 1 species
AAAUAUCCACCUGCAGAGUCUACAAAAAGUGUGUUUCAAAACUGCUCCACCCAAAGGAAUGUUCAGCUCUGUGAGUUGAACUCAAUCAUCCCAAAGUAUUUUCUGAGAAUGCUUCUGUCCAGUUUUUACAUGAAGCUGUUUCCUUUACUACCGUAGGCCUCAAAGCGUUCCAAACCUCCACUUGCAGAUACUACGAAAAGAGCGUUUCAACCUGAACUCACAAGGGAAGGUUCAACUCUGUCAGUUGAAUGCCAACAUCACCAAGAAGUUCUGAGAAUGUUCCUCUUCAGUUACGUGAGGUUUAUCCCGUUUCCAACGAAAUUCUCAGAGAAGUCCCAAAAUCCACUUGCAUAUUCCACAAAAGGUGUGUUUUGAAAAUGCGCCAUCAAAAGAUAUGCUCAGCUCUGUGAGUUAAACUCAAUCAUCGCAAAGUAUUUUCUGAGAAUGCUUCCGUCUUGUUUUUAGAUGAAGUUCUUUCCUUUACUACGAUAGGCCUCAAGGAGGUCCAAAUGUCCACUUGCAGAUUCUGCAGAAGGAGUGUUUCAAACCUGAACUGUCAGAGAAAGG